UGAAUACGAGACACUAAGGUGUUGAAGUAGUGUAUGUCAUACUUCCAAGAAAAGCUUGCACUGUCAUAAAUGAAAAAUGCCUGUACCAUAACCGACACAGGUGGGUAGGUAGAGUAUACUAAGGGGCGCGAGAUAACUCUCUCUAAGGAACUCGGCAAAAUAACUCCGUAACUUCGGGAGAAGGAGUGCCUUAUUUAUAAGGUUGCAAUAACAAGAUCCAAGCAACUGUUUAUCAAAAACACAGGUCUCCGCUAAGUCGUAAGACGAUGUAUGGGGGCUGACGCCUGCCCAGUGCCAGAAGGUUAAAGAGGUUGGUUAGCAAUAGCGAAGCUGGUAACUGAAGCCCUGGUGAACGGCGGCCGUAACAAUAACGGUCCUAAGGUAGCGAAAUUCCUUGUCGGGUAAGUUCCGACCCGCACGAAAGGCGUAAUGAUUUGGAUACUGUCUCGGAGAGGGGCUCGGUGAAAUAGACUUGUCUGUGAAGAUGCGGACUACCUGCACCAGGACAGAAAGACCCUAUGAAGCUUUACUGUAACUUGAAAUUGAAAUUGGACUUUAUUCGCGCAGCAUAGGUGGGAGGCGUUGAUUAUAAUCUCGCGGGAUUAUUGGAGCCAUCAGUGAGAUACCACUCUUGUAAUGUUAGAUUUCUAACUUUGAAUCAUUAUCUGGUCAAAGGACAGUUUCAGGCGGGCAGUUUGACUGGGGCGGUCGCCUCCUAAACGGUAACGGAGGCGUACAAAGGUUUCCUCUGAACGGUUAGAAAUCGUAUCUAGAGUGUAAAGGCAUAAGGAAGCUUGACUGUGAGACCUACAAGUCGAGCAGGGACGAAAGUCGGUCUUAGUGAUCUGACGGUACUGAGUGGAAAGGCCGUCACUCAACGGAUAAAAGUUACUCUAAGGAUAACAGGCUGAUCUCCCCCAAGAGUUCACAUCGACGGGGAGGUUUGGCACCUCGAUGUCGGCUCAUCGCAUCCUGGGGCGGUAGUACGUCCCAAGGGUUGGGCUGUUCGCCCAUGAAAGCGGUACGCGAGCUGGGUUCAGAACGUCGUGAGACAGUUCGGUCCAUAUCCGGUGUAGGCGUUAGAAUAUUGAGAGGAGCCUUCUUUAGUACGAGAGGACCGAGAAGGACAUACCUCUGGUGUACCAGUUAUCGUGCCAACGGUAAACGCUGGGUAGCUAUGUAUGGAGUGGAUAACCGCUGAAAGCAUCUAAGUGGGAAGCCCACCUCAAGAUAAGUA
rnacentral:rRNA from 1 species